rnacentral:rRNA from 1 species
UACGUAGGGGGCUAGCGUUAUCCGGAAUUACUGGGCGUAAAGGGUGCGUAGGUGGUUUCUUAAGUCAGAGGUGAAAGGCUACGGCUCAACCGUAGUAAGCCUUUGAAACUGGGAAACUUGAGUGCAGGAGAGGAGAGUGGAAUUCCUAGUGUAGCGGUGAAAUGCGUAGAUAUUAGGAGGAACACCAGUUGCGAAGGCGGCUUGCUGGGCUUUAACUGACGCUGAAGCACGAAAGCGUGGGUAGCAAACAGG